rnacentral:tRNA from 1 species
GGCCUCAUCGUCUAGUGGUUCAGGACUCCAGGUUCUCAUCCUGGCAACACCGGUUCGAAUCCGGUUGAGGUCACCA